rnacentral:rRNA from 1 species
CCUACGGGAGGCUGCAGUGGGGAAUAUUUGGCAAUGGGCGAAAGCCUGACCCAGCAACGCCGCGUGAAGGAAGGAGGCUUUCGGGUUGUAAACUUCUUUUGACAGGGAAGAGCAGAAGACGGUACCUGUCGAAUAAGCCACGGCUAACUACGUGCCAGCGGCCGCGGUAGUACGUAGGUGGCACGCGUUGUCCGGAUGUACUGGGUGAACGGGGCGUGUAGCGGGGCUGAAAAGUCAGAGGUGAAAUCAGGGGCUCAACCCCCGAACGGCAUGUGAAACUGUUGGUCUUGAGUAACGGAGAGGCAGGCGGAAUUCCUAGUGUAGCGGUGAAAUGCGUAGAUAUUAGGAGGAACACCAGUGGCGAAGGCGGCCUGCUGGACGACAACUGACGGUGAGGCGCGAAAGCGUGGGGAGCAAACAGGAUUAGAUACCCUUGUAGUC